rnacentral:rRNA from 2 species
GAGACCUACAAGUCGAGCAGGGACGAAAGUCGGGCUUAGUGAUCCGGUGGUUCCGCAUGGAAGGGCCAUCGCUCAACGGAUAAAAGCUACCCUGGGGAUAACAGGCUUAUCUCCCCCAAGAGUCCACAUCGACGGGGAGGUUUGGCACCUCGAUGUCGGCUCAUCGCAUCCUGGGGCUGUAGUCGGUCCCAAGGGUUGGGCUGUUCGCCCAUUAAAGCGGUACGCGAGCUGGGUUCAGAACGUCGUGAGACAGUUCGGUCCCUAUCCGUCGCGGGCGUAGGAAAUUUGAGAGGAUCUGUCCUUAGUACGAGAGGACCGGGAUGGACAUACCGCUGGUGUACCAGUUGUUCUGCCAAGGGCAUCGCUGGGUAGCUAUGUAUGGAUGAGAUAAACGCUGAAAGCAUCUAAGUGCGAAACUCACCUCGAGAUAAGAUUUCCCAUUCCUUUAUGGAAGUAAGACCCCUGAGAGAUGAUCAGGUAGAUAGGAUGGAAGUGGAAGUACGG